GGACUGUAUCAACAAGUAGAUAUUAUUAAUUCUACUAAUAUAUUUAUGUCAACUUUAAAUGUUAAGAUCAAUUCAUCUGAACUGUAUGGAGAUUAUAAAGUCAACAUUACCAAUGAUAUUAACCAUAUUAUAAUUACAAUAGCACUCACUUUACAGACUGGUCCAGAUGAACCCAGUGAAUUUAUAUUGGACAGUUUAUCCCACAGUUCGAUCUGCAUUAAGCUAAAACCAGGUUUUGAUGGUGGAGAUACCCAGAAGUUUAUUUUUGAAUUUUCUGCCGACAAAAAAACUUGGAUGAACGCACCGACACUAGAACUAACUAAAGAAGGCGAUGUUUUAAACGGAUGUAUAGAAAACCUCAUCCCAGACACCGAGUACUUUGUGAGAGUCAUUGCUAGUAACAAGUUUGGUUCAUCAACACCAGUCCAUCUGGUGACUCAUCAGGUGAUACGAACAUCAGCUGAUCCACGUAAAUCUGAUCAAAACGAGGACAGCAACGAUAUCGCCUUGAUCGUGUUCUUAUGUCUUGCUGUUGUAACAAGUAUUGUUCUUAUCAUUGUGGUGAUUUAUCAACGUAAACAAAUUUCAACCCUGAAAGGCAACACUAGGACCACUGGAGCAAGUGAAAACAAUGCAAUCAAUUCGCAAGUCUACAGCAGCCUAGAAUUAAGUACUAGGAGUGAAUCAUUACCCAGCCCAUAUAGCAAUUUAGGUGAACUAUCCAGAGGUACACCAGUAUCUAGUCCAUAUAGCAAUUUAGUUGAAACAUCACUCGCCAGUGACCAAGUAUCAAGUCCUUAUAUAAAUGUAAGCGAAGAAUCUUAAAUCUUGAAGUAUUUGUAGAUAAUGUAAUACCAGUUACAAAUUUAAUCCAAAUGUUUUAUAUUAGUAAUUAUAUAUCAGGUUGUCAUUAUCGAGGCAGGAUGUGCUUGCUGUUGUUAGAAUACCUUAUACCACUUUUCAUGUAUUCUAACCACCAGACCGGGAAUCUGAAGGUGACCUUUUGGACCCGACGUUACCUUUUACCCAAGAACGUAAGAUUAUCCAGAAAACAAAUUAUAUUCCCAUUUAGCUGAAUUAGCAGAUUCAUUCGCGGGUUUUGGCAUAAUCAAUAAUAGACAUGUGUCUUGACCUAUACUACAGAAUUUAAACUCAAACGUUCUUUUUCGUUUCAAGUAUCGAUGUUAUACAAAAGACAGGAUAUUCUCAGAAUAACUUCUUAUAUCUGAGCGCCAUUGAAAACGCAUCACUUAGUUUUUCGUAUAACAAAAUGAUCCUGUAAACAUAUCUUAUUUAUUUUGCUUCUUAUUGUGAACAAUAUUCAAAUGGGAACUCAUCAAUAACAACACAUUUGUACACUUAUGGAUGAUUAAUCUGUAAUCAAGGGUACAAAGUCAGAGGGGUCAAAAACAAAAGUACGACACAGAUGUCAGUAGCGCGUGUGUCCUCCACGUGCCAUCAUCACGGUAGGCUACAGCAUUAACGCGACCCCUGCAAAUGUGUAGGGCGGUCCGGUGAUGAAAUGUGAAGCCUCUCCACACCAUUACACUUCCCCCACCCCAUCGAUCCGUUUCGAAGACGCAGCAGUCUGCAAGACGUUCCCCAAGACGUCUCCACACACGUUGACGGCCAUAAACGUGAUAAAGAUGAAAGCGACUCUCAUCACUGAAGAGCACACUUUGCCAGUCAACUCUUCUCCAUGUCUGGUGUCCUUGAGCCCAUAUCAAACGCCGCUGACGAUGAUGAUCUCUGAGGAUAGCUCCAGCAUAAGGUCGUCGUGCACGGAGUCCUACUUCUCUUAAACGACGUCUUACGGUGUUGGCACUUACUGGCCCUUGUCUUCCGACGACUGCUGCACCUGUUUGAGUCGCUGGGCGGAAUCUGUCACGCAGAUGAGUGACCCGGAAGUAGCGGUCUUGAGCCUGGGUUGUAACGCGUUGUGGACCAGGACGUUGACGAUCACGUGUUGAUCCAGUAACUCGAACACGUUCCACCAACCUUACAAUAGUGGACUGAUGACAAUUGAAGUGUCUAGCAAUAGCACGUGUAGACAUUCCCAUGGCUUCAUUCCGUUGAUUUUCAGUAAGUCUCGGCAUCUCUACCUCGAUUCCUUCACACGUCCAACAACAAAUUACGACAGAUUGACGUUUCACAGUUCAUGUACUGCACAUUAAGUUGAAAACAUUCUUUUAAAGGGCUCACACACAACGCUGCACAUGAAUAUUGGGUUUUUCAUGUGCAUCUCGUGCAAUUUUUUUUUUUGCACACGGGCCGAUAUUUUUUGUGUUUGGGAGCAUUGUGUAAAACAAUAGUUCAUAGUAUUGCAUAAUAUUAUACAUACAAAACCACCUAGUAAUAAAAUAUUUGGGAAAAAAAUGUGAUGCGUUUUCUAUG